UGGGGAAUAUUGGACAAUGGGGGCAACCCUGAUCCAGCCAUGCCGCGUGUGUGAAGAAGGCCUUUUGGUUGUAAAGCACUUUAAGCAGGGAGGAGAGGCUAAUGGUUAAUACCCAUUAGAUUAGACGUUACCUGCAGAAUAAGCACCGGCUAACUCUGUGCCAGCAGCCGCGGUAAUACAGAGGGUGCGAGCGUUAAUCGGAAUUACUGGGCGUAAAGCGAGUGUAGGUGGCUCAUUAAGUCACAUGUGAAAUCCCCGGGCUUAACUUGGGAACUGCAUGUGAUACUGGUGGUGCUAGCAUAUGUGAGCGGAAAGAAGAAUGCCAGGUAUAGCGGUGAAAUGCGUCGAGAUCUGGAGGAAUACCGAUGGCGAAGGCAGCUUCCUGGCAUAAUAUUGACACUGAGAUUCGAAAGCGUGGGUAGCGAACAGG
rnacentral:rRNA from 1 species